rnacentral:RNase_P_RNA from 1 species
GGAGUCGGCCAGACAGUCGCUGCUGCAAGGCAGAGGAAAGUCCGGGCUCCGCAGGGCAAGGUGCCAGGUAACGCCUGGGAGGCGCGAGCCUACGGAAAGUGCCACAGAAAAUAUACCGCCCGUCGUGACGGGUAAGGGUGAAAUGGUGCGGUAAGAGCGCACCGCGCCGGUGGCAACAUCGGUGGCAGGGCAAACCCCACCUGGAGCAAGACCGAAUAGGGGGACCAUGGCGCGGCCCGCGUUGUCCCCGGGUAGGUUGCUAGAGGCGUCCGGUGACGGGCGUCCCAGAGGAAUGACUGUCCACGACAGAACCCGGCUUACCGGCCGACUCCCACC